rnacentral:rRNA from 1 species
UGGGGAAUCUUGCCCAAUGGGCGAAAGCCUGAGGCAGCGACGCCGCGUGAGGGAAGAAGGCCUUCGGGUUGUAAACCUCUUUCAGGAGGGACGAAGCUACUCGGGUGAAUAGCCCAGAGGGUGACGGUACCUCCAGAAGAAGCCCCGGCUAACUACGUGCCAGCAGCCGCGGUAAUACGUAGGGGGCAAGCGUUGUCCGGAUUUACUGGGCGUAAAGAGCGUGUAGGCGGCCAGACAGGUCUGUUGUGAAAACUGGAGGCUCAACCUCCAGACGUCGACAGAAACCGUCUGGCUAGAGUCCGGAAGAGGAGAGUGGAAUUCCUGGUGUAGCGGUGAAAUGCGCAGAUAUCAGGAAGAACACCGAUGGCGAAGGCAGCUCUCUGGGACGGUACUGACGCUGAGACGCGAAAGCGUGGGGAGCGAACAGGAUUAGAUACCCUGGUAGUCCACGCCGUAAAACGAUGGGUGCUAGGUGUGGGAGGUGUCGACUCCUUCCGUGCCGCAG